AGCUCCAGUAGCGUAUAUUAAAGUUGUUGCAGUUAAAAAGCUCGUAGUUGGAUUUCUGGUAUGCUGCGCCUAGACGGGCCGCUUUAAGCGGUGUGUGUUCUGGAGCGCGGUUGCCAUCCUUCUAGAGAACGUUUCUAUCCUUCGCUGGACUGGAUUCGCAAUCUAGAUCUUUUACUUUGAAAAAAUUAGAGUGUUUAAAGCAGGCUUAUGCUAUGAAUACAUUAGCAUGGAAUAAUAAUAUAGGACUUUGGUUCUAUUUUGUUGGUUUCUAGGACUAAAGUAAUGAUUGAUAGGGAUAGUUGGGGGUGCUAGUAUUCAGCGGCCAGAGGUGAAAUUCUUGGAUUCGCUGAAGACUAACUUAUGCGAAAGCAUUCACCAAGGAUGUCUUCU
rnacentral:rRNA from 1 species